CCAGCUUCCAGUUCAAGAAUUUCUGAAAGAUCUUUGGCACCCAGAGCUAAUGAGAUGAAAUGAUCCCGGAACUCUUGCUGAUCUCAGAAACUUGCUGCUGUUUUGCUUCAUCUGGGAUAAAGUUGAAACAGCUUUUAGACAUAAAGCUCUUCUUUCAAAUAGCUAGGUGGUGUCAUGCAAAUCAAAAACAUUAGCCGAGGGUGAAAGGCUUCUAAAUAAUGCAGAGGCUGAAAUCGACGGUUGUAUGUAUUUAUAAUUUUUU
rnacentral:lncRNA from 1 species